CCAGGAUCUCUGCCUGUACCUCUUGAGCACAGUGUAAAGAAUUUGAGAUAGAAUAUAGGACAUUUCAUUCAAGAGAAGACCUGCCAAUAUGCUGAUUGCCAGUGUGCUGAAGGCAGUCAUAGCCUCCAUCUGUCUUGGAUCCAGCAUGACCAAGAAAGUAACUCAAGCCCAGCCUGCAAUUUCUGUGGUGGUGAAGGAGGCUGUAGCCUUGAACUGUGUAUAUGAAGUUGGCAGAUACAAUUAUUAUUUAUUCUGGUACAAACAACCAUCCAGUGGGAAAAUGACUUUCCUUAUUUGCCAGGAGUCUUAUAAUGAGCAAAAUACCACUGAGGGUCGAUAUUCUCUGACCUUCCAGAAAUCAGCCAGUUCCAUCAACCUCACCAUCACAGACACAGCUUGGGGACUCAGCGGUGUAUUUCUGUGCUUUGAGAGAUGCCACAGUGAUUUGGGUGCCUGUGGGGGGCCCACAGAAUCAUCAACAUGAAAUAGAGGCCCUGGGGAGGGACUCCGUCACAGACAGGAUGAAGCAGAUGUGGGAGUAG